UGUAAACGCUGAAAGCCUAAAAGAAGGUGUC
rnacentral:piRNA from 1 species